UGGGGAAUAUUGCACAAUGGGCGCAAGCCUGAUGCAGCCAUGCCGCGUGUAUGAAGAAGGCCUUCGGGUUGUAAAGUACUUUCAGUCGGGAGGAAGGUGGUAAGGUUAAUAACCUUAUCAAUUGACGUUACCGACAGAAGAAGCACCGGCUUACUCCGUGCCAGCAGCCGCGGUAAUAUGGAGGCUUCAAGCGUUAAUCGGAUUUACUGGGCGUAAAGUGCACGCAGGCGGUUGAUUGAGUCAGAUGUGAAAUCCCCGGGCUUAAUCCGGGAAUUGCAACUGAUACUAGUCAGCUAGAGUCAUGUAGAGGGGGGUAGAAUUCCAUGUGUAGCGGUGAAAAGCGUAGAGAUGUGGAGGAAAACCAGUGGCGAAGGCAGCCACCUGGACAAAGACUGACGAGUAGAAACGAAAGCGUGGGGAGCAAUCGGG
rnacentral:rRNA from 1 species